rnacentral:rRNA from 1 species
ACUCAAAUGAAUAGACGGGGACCCGCACAAGCAGUGGAGUAUGUGGUUUAAUUCGAAGCAACGCGAAGAACCUUACCAGGUCUUGACAUCCUCUUGAACAGUUUAGAGAUAGGCUGGGCCUUCGGGACAAGAGAGACAGGUGGUGCAUGGUUGUCGUCAGCUCGUGUCGUGAGAUGUUGGGUUAAGUCCCGCAACGAGCGCAACCCUUGAUUUUAGUUGCCAGCAUUUGGUUGGGCACUCUAGAAUGACUGCCGGUGACAAACCGGAGGAAGGUGGGGAUGACGUCAAAUCAUCAUGCCCCUUAUGACCUGGGCUACACACGUACUACAAUGGCCGGUACAACGGGCAGCGAUACCGCGAGGUGGAGCGAAUCCUUAAAAGCCGGUCUCAGUUCGGAUUGCAGGCUGCAACUCGCCUGCAUGAAGUCGGAAUUGCUAGUAAUCGCGGAUCAGCAUGCCGCGGUGAAUACGUUCCCGGGUCUUGCACACACCGCCCGU